GAUACCAUACUUUAAUUUAAGAAGAUUUGGUUUGCAACUAAACAGUGAGAAUUUUCUCUGGUACCA
rnacentral:tRNA from 1 species